rnacentral:rRNA from 1 species
AUUAAUAAGCGGAGGUAAAAGAAAUCAACCGAGAUUCCCCGAGUAAGGGCGACUGAAACGGGAAGAGCCCAGCGCAUAACCUCGCGGUCCCUGGCGGCCGUCGAGGGGUGUUGCGUAUCGGUGGAUCCGUCCCGCCUGUGCUGCUUACCGCCUAAGUCAUUGCUUGAAAGCAGCCCCAUGGAGGGUGAUAGGCCCGUGUGGCGGCGCCUGUAAAAAGGGUGAAGGCGGCAUGGGCGGAGGGAUCUUCACCGUGGAGUCGGGUUGCUUAGUACUGCAGCCCUAAGCAGGUGGUAAACUCCAUCUAAGGCUAAAUACAACCACGAGUCCGAUAGCAGACAAGUACCGUGAGGGAAAGCUGAAAAGAACUUUGAAGAGAGAGUUCAAGAGGACGUGAAACCACUAGGAGCAUAAACGGGUGGACCCGCGACGGUCGAACGAGGGGAUUCAGCUCGCGGCCCGUCGGCCCGGGGAGGUGGCACAGUAAAGCAAAGAGAAGACCCGGCGAGAAAUUUGGCACGCCGUGGCACCGCCUCUCCGCCUGGCCGGGUGGGUUCCGCGGGCUUAUUUCUCCCUCCAGUAGCGACGCCGCGACCUGCUGCUGAGGCCCCGAGGGCCCGUGCGGACUGGUAGCCGGGACUUUCGGGUUCCGGUGAGGACCGCGUGGGUUCCGACCGGGCCUCGGCGGCGGUCACUGCCAGGAGGGCGCCCCUCACGGGGCGGCCUCUCGCGGCGUAUGUCUGAGUCGGUCAUCCACCCGA